rnacentral:rRNA from 1 species
AGUGAACGCUGGCGGUAGGCCUAACACAUGCAAGUCGAACGGCAGCACAGUAAGAGCUUGCUCUUACGGGUGGCGAGUGGCGGACGGGUGAGGAAUACAUAGGCAUCUACUUUUUCGUGGGGGAUAACGUAGGGAAACAUACGCUAAUACCGCAUACGACCUACGGGUGAAAGCAGGGGAUCUUCGGACAUUGCGCGAAUGAAUGAGCCGAUGUCGGAUUAGCUAGUUGGCGGGGUAAAGGCCCACCAAGGCGACGAUCCGUAGCUGGCCUGAGAGGAUGAUCAGCCACACUGGAACUGAGACACGGUCCAGACUCCUACGGGAGGCAGCAGUGGGGAAUAUUGGACAAUGGGGGCAAGCCUGAUCCAGCCAUGCCGCGUGAGUGAAGAAGGCCUUCGGGUUGUAAAGCCCUUUUGUUGGGAAAGAAAAGCAGCAGGUUAAUACCCCGCUGUUCUGACGGUACCCAAAGAAUAAGCACCGGCUAACUUCGUG